GACGAACCGAGCGACCGUUGUUCGGAAUCACUGGGCUUAAAGGGCGCGUAGGCGGGGGUUCAAGUCCGUGGUGAAAUCCUCCGGCUCAACCGGAGAACUGCCUCGGAUACUGAAUGUCUCGAGGGUGGUAGGGGUAUGCGGAACUAUCGGUGGAGCGGUGAAAUGCGUUGAUAUCGAUAGGAACUCCGGUGGCGAAGGCGGCAUACUGGACCACUUCUGACGCUGAGGCGCGAAAGCCAGGGGAGCAAACGGG
rnacentral:rRNA from 1 species